GGAGGGGUGCUCGAGUGGUUUAAGAGACCAGUCUUGAAAACUGGCGAGCCCGCAAGGGUUCCGUGAGUUCGAAUCUCACCCCCUCCG
rnacentral:tRNA from 1 species